UACCAGGUGUGUGUGUGUGUGUGUGAGUACCAGGUGUGUGUGUGUGUGCGAGUCACACGUGGGUGACAGUGUUACACUUUACACAGGUGUUCGUCAUACAAGUUGUACGUGACAGGUGUGUUCUGCGGGAUUUAUACGGUCACGGGCCUGACACAGGUGAGUGCGACAGGUGUUCUGUGGGAGUUAUAUGGUUAUGGGCCAGACACAGGUGAGUGUGUUUGUCAGGUGUGUCUGCAGGUGAGUUAUAUGUUAAUGGUAUUGGCAGGUACGCGACACAGGUGUGUGUGCGAGGAGUGCGUGGGGCGCUAGUCCAGGUAGGACUGCAGGGUUCCACGGCGGCGAACGUCACUCGUCCAGCAGUGGAAGCCACCACCCAGCGA